AAAGUACUCCCUCCGUCGCAAAAUUCUUGUCUUAGAUUUGUCUAGAUACGGAUGUAUCAAGUCACAUUUUAGUAUUAGAUACAUCCGUAUCUAGACAAAUAUAAGACAAGAAAUUUGGGACAGAGGGAGUAGUUG
rnacentral:pre_miRNA from 1 species